rnacentral:rRNA from 1 species
UUGCAAACUAAAGAUGGCGACCGGCGCACGGGCUGAGCUAACACGCUAUCCNACCUGCCGAUAACUCGGGGAUAGCCUUUCGAAAGAAAGAUUAAUAUCCGAUAGUAUAUUAAAACCGCAUGGUUUUACUAUUAAAGAAUUUCGGUUAUCGAUGGGGAUGCGUUCCAUUAGUUUGUUGGCGGGGUAACGGCCCACCAAGACUACGAUGGAUAGGGGUUCUGAGAGGAAGGUCCCCCACAUUGGAACUGAGACACGGUCCAAACUCCUACGGGAGGCAGCAGUGAGGAAUAUUGGUCAAUGGACGAGAGUCUGAACCAGCCAAGUAGCGUGAAAGAUGACUGCCCUAUGGGUUGUAAACUUCUUUUAUAUGGGAAUAAAGUAUUCCACGUGUGGGAUUUUGUAUGUACCAUAUGAAUAAGGAUCGGCUAACUCCGUGCCAGCAGCCGCGGUAAUACGGAGGAUCCGAGCGUUAUCCGGAUUUAUUGGGUUUAAAGGGAGCGUAGGUGGAUUGUUAAGUCAGUUGUGAAAGUUUGCGGCUCAACCGUAAAAUUGCAGUUGAAACUGGCAGUCUUGAGUACAGUAGAGGUGGGCGGAAUUCGUGGUGUAGCGGUGAAAUGCUUAGAUAUCACGAAGAACUCCGAUUGCGAAGGCAGCUCACUAGACUGCAACUGACACUGAUGCUCGAAAGUGUGGGUAUCAAACAGGAUUAGAUACCCUGGUAGUCCACACAGUAAACGAUGAAUACUCGCUGUUUGCGAUAUACAGUAAGCGGCCAAGCGAAAGCAUUAAGUAUUCCACCUGGGGAGUACGCCGGCAACGGUGAAACUCAAAGGAAUUGACGGGGGCCCGCACAAGCGGAGGAACAUGUGGUUUAAUUCGAUGAUACGCGAGGAACCUUACCCGGGNCUUAAAUUGCAUUUGAAUAAUCUGGAAACAGGUUAGCCGCAAGGCAAAUGUGAAGGUGCUGCAUGGUUGUCGUCAGCUCGUGCCGUGAGGUGUCGGCUUAAGUGCCAUAACGAGCGCAACCCUUAUCUUUAGUUACUAACAGGUCAUGCUGAGGACUCUAGAGAGACUGCCGUCGUAAGAUGUGAGGAAGGUGGGGAUGACGUCAAAUCAGCACGGCCCUUACGUCCGGGGCUACACACGUGUUACAAUGGGGGGUACAGAAGGCAGCUACCUGGCGACAGGAUGCUAAUCCCAAAAACCUCUCUCAGUUCGGAUCGAAGUCUGCAACCCGACUUCGUGAAGCUGGAUUCGCUAGUAAUCGCGCAUCAGCCAUGGCGCGGUGAAUACGUUCCCGGGCCUUGUACACACCGCCCGUCAAGCCAUGAAAGCCGGGGGUACCUGAAGUACGUAACCGCAGGAGCUCCUAGGAAAC